CCGCGGUGAUACGUAUGGGGCGAGCGUUGUUCGGAAUUAUUGGGCGUAAAGGGCGUCUAGGCGGGGAAUUAAGUUAGUUGUGAAAUCCAUGGGCUCAACCCGUGAACUGCAUCUAAAACUGAUUCUCUUGAGUUCGGGAGAGGAGAGCGGAAUUCCCGGUGUAGCGGUGAAAUGCGUAGAUAUCGGGAAGAACACCAGUGGCGAAGGCGGCUCUCUGGCCUAGAACUGACGCUGAAGCGCGAAAGCGUGGGGAGCGAACGGGAUUAGAUACCCCGGUAGUCCACGCCGUAAACGUUGUGUACUAGGUGUUAGUGACUUGUUCACUAGUGCCGACGCUAACGCAUUAAGUACACCGCCUGGGGAGUACGGCCGCAAGGCUUAAACUCAAAGAAAUUGGCGGGGGCCCGCACAAGCGGUGGAGCACGUGGUUUAAUUCGAAGAUACGCGAAGAACCUUACCUGGGCUUGAACUGCAUUUGACAGGUGUAGAGAUACACCCUCCUUCGGGCAGAUGCAGAGGUGCUGCAUGGUUGUCGUCAGCUCGUGUCGUGAGAUGUUGGGUUAAGUCCCGCAACGAGCGCAACCCUUACCCCUUGUUGCCAUCAGGUAGUGCUGAGCACUCUAGGGGAACUGCCGGUGAUAAACCGGAGGAAGGUGGGGAUGACGUCAAAUCAUCACGGCCCUUAUGUCCAGGGCUACACACGUGCUACAAUGGCCGGUACAAUGAGCUGCAAUACCGCGAGGUGGAGCUAAUCUCAAAAAACCGGUCUCAGUUCGGAUUGCAGUCUGCAACUCGACUGCAUGAAGCUGGAAUCGCUAGUAAUCGUGGAUCAGCACGCCACGGUGAAUACGUUCCCGGGCCUUGUACACACCGCCCGUCACACCACCCGAGUUGGCAGCGCCCGAAGUGGCUGAUCUAACCGUUUACGGAGGAAGGUUACUAAGGUGAAGCUGGUAAGGGGGGUGAAGUCGUAACAAGG
rnacentral:rRNA from 1 species